rnacentral:tRNA from 1 species
GGCCCCGUCGUCUAGUUUGGUUAGGACACAGGCCUUUCAAGCCUGCAACACGGGUUCAAAUCCCGUCGGGGUCA